CCCGCUUCCCGCAUCCGGAAAUGUAAUCAUGUCUAUUUCCCGCACCGUUUUUUUUUGUAAAUAUUAUAAAAAGAUAUCAACAUUGGUUUCUUUCCCCCUUACUUAUAUUCCCUAUUAAAAAUUCUCGUUGUUAGAAUAAAGUACAAAGAACACAUGAAGGAUUUGCCUUCAACUGCAAUUAUAUUAUGCUGGCAAAACAAAACUAUCGAUAGCUGCACCUGUCCUGAUUGAUUCAGGGGCCUGUCGUUCAGCAGUUACCGUUUGUUGAUGUUGUUCAUUGGUAUAAUUUUUCCCGUUUGGAUAUAUAAAUUAGAUCGUUGGUUUGCCUGUUCGAAUUGUGUACGCUAAUAAUUUUGGGAUCCUUUAUAGCUUGCUGUUUGGUCUGUAUCAAAGCCCUGUGUAAAAGGCCGUAUUGACCUGUGUUUGUUAUUGUCAGGUUGAGAACAACCCUCCCUCAGACAAGGGGUCAUUUUACUGAUGUAGAAAAGAAAAUAGAAAUACCAAGGAUUUGUAUAGUUCUUCUAUACAAAACCUUUGAAAACUUAGAAUUUUGUACUCAAAAAGAGGAGAGUUACAUCAUAUUUUAAACUUUUUCUAAAAGAG
rnacentral:lncRNA from 1 species